UUUGUCGAACCGGUAUAUUCUUUAUAGCUUGCUAUGAGAAUAAUUAGUGGCAGACGGGUGAGUAAUGCAUAGGAAUCUACCUAGUAGUAUAGGAUAGCCACUAGAAAUGGUGGGUAAUACUGUAUAAUCCCUGCGGGGGAAAGAUUUAUCGCUACAUGAUGAGCCUAUGUUAGAUUAGCUAGUUGGUGGGGUAAUGGCCUACCAAGGCAGUGAUCUAUAGCUGGUCUGAGAGGAUGAUCAGCCACACUGGAACUGAGACACGGUCCAGACUCCUACGGGAGGCAGCAGUGGGGAAUAUUGGACAAUGGGCGCAAGCCUGAUCCAGCUAUGCCGCGUGAGUGAGGAAGGCCUUAGGGUUGUAAAACUCUUUCAGUAGGGAAGAUAAUGCGGUAU
rnacentral:rRNA from 1 species